AAUAGAUACCCAGGUAGUCCCAGCCGUAAACGAUGCUCGCUAGGUGUCAGGCAUGGCGCGACCGUGUCUGGUGCCGCAGGGAAGCCGUGAAGCGAGCCACCUGGGAAGUACGGCCGCAAGGCUGAAACUUAAAGGAAUUGGCGGGGGAGCACAACAACGGGUGGAGCCUGCGGUUUAAUUGGACUCAACGCCGGACAACUCACCGGGGACGACAGCAAUAUGUAGGCCAGGCUAAAGACCUUGCCUGAAUCGCUGAGAGGAGGUGCAUGGCCGUCGCCAGUUCGUACUGUGAAGCAUCCUGUUAAGUCAGGCAACGAGCGAGACCCGUGCCCACUGUUACCAGCAUGUCCUCCGGGACGAUGGGUACUCUGUGGGGACCGCCGAUGUUAAAUCGGAGGAAGGUGCGGGCUACGGUAGGUCAGUAUGCCCCGAAUUUCCCGGGCUACACGCGGGCUACAAUGAAUGGGACAAUGGGUCCCCACCCCGGAGACGGGGUUGGUAAUCGUCCCAAACCCAUCCGUAGUUCGGAUCGAGGGCUGUAACUCGCCUCGU
rnacentral:rRNA from 1 species